rnacentral:rRNA from 1 species
UACGAAGGGUCCAAGCGUUGUUCGGAAUCAUUGGGCGUAAAGCGCGCGCAGGCGGAUUGAUAAGUCAGGUGUGAAAUCUCGAGGCUCAACCUCGAAACUGCGCCUGAAACUAUCAGUCUAGAAUGUCGGAGGGGGCAGGGGAAUUUCACGUGUAGGGGUAAAAUCCGUAGAGAUGUGAAGGAACACCGGGGGCGAAGGCGCCUGCCUGGACGACUAUUGACGCUGAGGCGCGAAAGCGUGGGGAGCAAACAGG